rnacentral:rRNA from 2 species
AUUCGACCUCAAAUCAGGUAGGACUACCCGCUGAACUUAAGCAUAUCAAUAAGCGGGAGGA